CGCGGCCUAUCAGCUUGUUGGUGGGGUAACGGCCCACCAAGGCGACGACGGGUAGCCGGCCUGAGAGGGCGACCGGCCACACUGGGACUGAGACACGGCCCAGACUCCUACGGGAGGCAGCAGUGGGGAAUAUUGCACAAUGGGCGAAAGCCUGAUGCAGCGACGCCGCGUGAGGGAUGACGGCCUUCGGGUUGUAAACCUCUUUCAGCAGGGACGAAGCGAAAGUGACGGUACCUGCAGAAGAAGCACCGGCCAACUACGUGCCAGCAGCCGCGGUAAUACGUAGGGUGCAAGCGUUGUCCGGAAUUAUUGGGCGUAAAGAGCUCGUAGGCGGUCUGUCACGUCGGCUGUGAAAACCUAGGGCUCAACCCUGGGCCUGCAGCCGAUACGGGCAGACUAGAAUUCGGUAGGGGAGACUGGAAUUCCUGGUGUAGCGGUGAAAUGCGCAGAUAUCAGGAGGAACACCGGUGGCGAAGGCGGGUCUCUGGGCCGAUAUUGACGCUGAGGAGCGAAAGCGUGGGGAGCGAACAGGAUUAGAUACCCUGGUAGUCCACGCCGUAAACGUUGGGAACUAGGUGUGGGCCACAUUCCACGUGGUCUGUGCCGCAGCUAACGCAUUAAGUUCCCCGCCUGGGGAGUACGG
rnacentral:rRNA from 1 species